UCUCCAUCCAAGCGUCCACAUAAGGCUGUGCUAUGCUCCAUAGCUUAUCUGGUCACAGUGACUUCAGAGGGACUGUGUUGAAGAAUGCAAGAAUUUCCCUCAAAAGUACAAAGAUCCGAUCAAGUUAAGACUAAUCCUGGACCCCAACAUGAUGCCUGAGGAGUUUGGGCUGGACUAUGGCAUUGUACAAAAACGAAACAAAACAAAACAAAACCCAACAGUCCUGCUAACACAGGUUGGAUUUCUGCCUGAGCGAGACCUACUAGCUUUGACACUUGCUUGCAGAUUUAUGCUGGUGAACAUCUCCAAGGAACUCUGUUGAGUUUUCUGAUUUGUGCCACAGUCAUCAGGACUCCUAAAGUUCUAAGCAAGCUGAAA